AUGCAGUUGGAGAUGGAUGCGGUCGAGCAAAACCGCACCUGGGAGCUCGCUGACCUCCCUCGUGGUCACCGCGCAAUCACCCUUAAGUGGGUGUUCAAGCUGAAGAGGGAUGGAGCCGGCGCCAUCAUCAAGCACAAGGCUCGCUUGGUGGCCCGAGGCUUCUUGCAGCAGGAAGGAGUCGACUUCGACGACGCCUUCGCUCCCGUGGCACGGAUCGAGUCCGUGCGACUUCUCCUCGCGCUGGCUGCCCAGGAGGGCUGGCAUGUCCAUCAUAUGGAUGUCAAGUCCGCAUUCCUCAACGGCGACUUGAAGGAGGAAGUCUACGUGCAUCAGCCACCGGGAUUUGCGAUCCCUGGCCAGGAGGGCAAGGUACUCCGCCUGCGCAAGGCUCUCUAUGGCCUACGGCAGGCACCUAGGGCGUGGAACGCCAAGCUAGACUCCACGCUAAAGAAGAUGGGAUUCGAGCAAAGCCCGCAUGAGGCGGCCGUCUACCGACGGGGCAGUGGAGGGAACGCCCUGCUGGUGGGCGUCUAUGUUGACGACUUGGUGAUUACCAGCACCAAAGAUGCAGAGGUGGCAGCGUUCAAGGAAGACAUGAAGGCCACCUUCCAGAUGAGUGAUCUGGGGCUCCUCUCCUUCUAUCUUGGGAUUGAGGUGCACCAGGGUCACUCCGGGAUCGCGCUUCGACAGUCCGCCUACGCCAAGCGCAUCGUUGAGCUAGCUGGGCUCACCGACUGUCACCCAACUCUCACUCCGAUGGAGAGGCUGAAACUGAGCCGUGACAACAAGGCGGAGGAACGACCGACGACGGAGCACCAGCAGGCAGUGAAGAGGAUCGUCCGCUACGUAGCAGGGACCCUCGACCACGGCCUCCACUACCAUAGGUGUCCCGGGGCGGCAAACUUCGUCGGAUACAGCGACAGCGACCACGCCGGCGACAUCGACACCAGCAAGAGCACGAGCGGGAUCCUCUUCUUCCUCGGCAAGUGUCUCGUGAGCUGGCAAUCAGUCAAGCAGCAGGUGGUGGCCCUGUCCAGCUGUGAGGCUGAGUACAUAGCGGCCUCCACCGCCUGCACUCAGGCGCUCUGGCUCGCUCGACUGCUUGGUGUGCUUGGUGAUCUCCUCGUCCGAGACACCAGAACGGUGCAGCUCCUGGUGGACAGCAAGUCCGCCCUGGCCCUGGCAAAGAACCCCGUUUUCCACGAACGGAGCAAGCACAUCCGACUGAGGUACCACUUCAUCCGCAGCUGUGUGGAAGAAGGGAGCAUCGAGGCGAACUACAUCAACACCACGGACCAGCUCGCAGACCUGCUCACCAAGCCUCUUGGGAGGAUCAAGUUCCUCGAACUCUGCUCCAGGAUCGGGAUGAUUCAACCCUCCCACAAAACAACGUACAAGACUUAG
rnacentral:rRNA from 1 species